rnacentral:misc_RNA from 1 species
AGCAGCCGCGGUAAUUCCAGCUCCAAUAGCGUAUAUUAAAGUUGUUGCAGUUAAAAGCUCGUAGUUGAAUUUCGGGAUCAAUAUAUCGGUCGUGCCUUGGUACGUACUGGUAUCAUUGGUUUCUCCUUUCUGACGAACCAUGAUGUCAUUAAUUUGGUGUUAUGGGAAGUUAGGACUGUUACUUUGAAAAAUUAGAGUGUUUAAAGCAGGCUUUGGCUUGAAUACAUUAGCAUGGAAUAAUGAAAUAGGACGUUCGAACCUAUUUUGUUGGUUUCUAGGAUCAACGUAAUGAUUAAUAGGGAUAGUUGGGGGCAUUAGUAUUCAAUUGUCAGAGGUGAAAUUCUUGGAUUUAUUGAAGACUAACUACUGCGAAAGCAUUUGCCAAGGAUGUUUUCAUUAAUCAAGAACGAAAGUUAGGGGAUCGAAGACGAUCAGAUACCGUCGUAGUCUUAACCAUAAACUAUGCCGACUAGGGAUCGGAUGAUGUUAAUUUUUAAUGACUCAUUCGGCGCCUUACGGG